GGCCUGGUGGUGGAUAGGGAGGAGUGGAUAGUGGAAGAGAGAUGUGGAGAGUAGGAUGGUGGAAGGGGGAGGUGGAGGUGGCUAUGGCGGACGUGACUGGGUUGAGGUGGUGGUUGUGGUGGUGUUUGGUAUGGUUGCAAUGGUUGUAGAGGGUGUUGCUAGUGAUGGUGAACGUGACUGGCUUAUGUUAAAGGUGGUUGUGGUUGUUGGGGAUGGUGGUGGUUGUGUGACAGUGGUGGGUGCAGCGGACGCAACGGUGUUGUGGUUGUUGGGUGUGGUUGAGGAUUGCGAUGGUGGUGGUGGUGGAGGUGGAGGUGAUAGGUGGCGGUGAUCGUAGUCGGAGCGGGCUAAGCGGUGGUGGUGGUGGUGUAAAAAGGUGUUUAUCGGACGGAGUGGAAGUGGUGGUGGUGGCGGUGAUACGAUUAUCAGGGAUGAGAGAGAGAGAGAGAGAGAGAGAGAGAGAGAGAGAGAGAGAGAGAAUGUGUGUGUGUGUGUACUCCUAUAAUCAGCAAAUUGCAGUCACUCGUUCGCUUGUUUCACCUCCCUGUUUCAGGCCUUCUCUCCCCUUCCCUUCCUCCCCGCUCCCUUCCUAGCCUGCCCACCACCCUCUCCCCGCUUUUCCCUGCCUGUCCUCCCCUGCUCCUCGUGUCCCAGAUAAAUUGUUAUCUUUCCAAGGGUUGAGGAGAACAUGGUCGUGGUUCAAGUGAAGCCACUACAGCCACUCCCUGACAAGCCUUCCACACUGACAGAAGUGGCAGCACACACACAAGAGACGAUGGUGUGGUGGACAAGAGGAUGCAGGGAGACGGCAGACAGAAUGGAAGCUACAGAUGAAAGAAGAGCAGGUCAAGCCAUGGCAGCAGACAGACACACAGACAGACAGAUUGGAUAAGAAAGAAGUAUUAUUUAGUGAGACAGGCCCACUGGAAGCUGUCAGAGUGCUGUGGCACGUGGCAAGAACCAAGUGUUCAGGAGCACACACUGUCCCUUCACCAGUCAGCAGGUCUGGUCGGCUUGGAAGUCUCACUACAAACUGAAGACCCGUUCACUUGAAGGACACAGUUGGAGUCGGACACAAGAUCCAAGAGGGAGUCAUUUUUAAACGAGAGCUUCAGGCAGAAAAUUCGAGUGGAUUUUCAACUCUAAAAAUAACUUUUUUGGGGGGGAUAUUUUGAACCUUCUUUAUCUUGAAAAAUAACUGCAGAUAUCAUGACUCUAGCUGGAAAUUGACCUGAGCAAUGUAGGGUUUGCUGCAGUGAGAUUACCAAGGCACGAGUGUCUGGGAUUUAAAGAUGAUGGAUAUGUGUCCUGUGUGCUGCUGUGCUGGGAGGAGAGGAGCAGCAGCAGUCGUGGGGCUCUGUUGCUGCUGUCACUGGUGCAGCUGUUCACUCCUGCAGCUACCUUCCCUCAACAUACUGUGUCUUCCCUCACCUGCAAUGAACAACUAUGAACAAUACUUCUCCUGCGAUGAGGAACAGUGAAUAACACCUCUCUCUCUCUCUCUCUCUCUCUCUCUCUCUCUCUCUCUCUCUCUCUCUCUCUCUCUCUCUCUCU